UGCUAACUGGAAAACAAGAACAAAAAUGAACUACUAGGUAGUUGAAACCACUGACUCUUGCUGCUCCUUCCUGCCCCUGGGUAAUUUAUGGCAGCAGAGCUGGGCUCCCACACUGCGGCUGCCACUUUGGCGUGGCUGUUCUGCUCACCGCGCAGGGGGCAGCCGGCCAAGGAGGAAGCCAUGCUGCCCGCUCUGUGGAUUUCAAGCCACACUGCGCAUGCUGGAGUUCCCACAGCCGCCCCUGCAGCCCCUACUCCCGGGAUCUCAGAGGUGCACUGCAGUUACAGUCUACAAACCACUGCUCGCUCAAACUCCAUCCUGAACUUAUGGCCCCAUGUCUGCAAAAAGAGAGGCCGGAUUACGUUGUCUAAGCUGCAAAGAACUGGAGUGAGGGAAGCUCCACACUUUGGAUACCUGAAGCAAGAAACAGCAGUUGCCUUCACAGAAUGUUAAGGAUCCUAAAAUAACCAUCAGUUGUUCUAAUCUGCGUUACUUACAAUGCUUAUUUUCGUUCCACUGCAUUUGGAGAGCUAAUUAAUUACAAGGUGGUCAGGAUAAUUUAUUCUUCCCUAUUAUUAAUGAGGGUGUGUGUGUGUGUGUGUGUGUGUGUGUGUGGUACUGGGGAUUGAACCCAGGACAUUCACACUGAGCUACAUCCUCAGUUCUCUUUUAACAUUUUGUUGUAAUUUUGAGACAGAGUCUCAGUAAGUUGCUUAGUUACCCAGGCUGGGCUCAAACUUUCAAUCCUGAUCUUCCUCUGCUUUGCAGAGUACUGGGAAUUCAAGCAUGUGAAACGACACCUGCUAUUCAUGAGGAUUUCAUUACUUUUCUGCACUCACUAAUGAUUUAAAGAGAAAAGCAAGAGAUACUUUGCAAAAUGACUGUAAAAACUGAAUGCUCAGGGACAGGAAGCUGCAGGGCUUGUGUGUGUUCCUCUCUUCCAUAACCGUUGUUGAAUCUUUAUUAUAUGCCAGGCAUUGCCCUAGCGCCAGGAUACACAACAAAUAAAUGGUCUUAUGACAUUUUUUUCACUUUUUGUUUUCCUUUACAGGAGCAACACGGCACCAAAUUGGUUUUGAAGAUGCUUCAGUAUUUCCUGAAUGCAUGCAGGGCUUCUCCCGGUUCUCCUAGUGCAAUCACCAGGUCACCCGCUUUGCAGUUCACCUGCCUCUGCAUGGCCCCUGCCCCCCUGUAAAGGGCGAAAGGCCAUUUACUCAAGGAAAGGCCUCCCUAAAGUGUCUGAGGAUCUGUAAUGAAGAUGCGGCUUUGCAGUUUGCAAGGGACAAAUAAAUUAAUGAUGGAGAGAGGAUUGUGUUCAAUCAGCAGAGCAUUACGUAGAACUCGUGAUCACAAAGCAAAGAGCUUACAAAAUAGCUGUUAAUGUUAUGGACCUAUUUGCUCUUUUUGUUUUUGCUUUCUGAAGCUUGAGAGGAAAACCAUUAUUAAGUGAAUAUGACAACAACUACACAAACUGUAGCCCUUGGUCCCUUGAGAAAACCUUCUGUCUGCCUUCCUCACCUGCCAAUGGCCCCCAGCACCCCUCUGGGUUGGGAAUGCUGCCUGGGCGGCUCUGGCUGGCCUCUCUCUCACAGGGCCUGAAUAGCAGACACUGGAUAAGUCCCUGUGUGGGUGAAUUUUGCUAGCAGUGGCUGUCCCUGAGCACUGAGAUGCACAGGGGUUCCUACUGAGGUCAGUCACACGGCUUUAUUAUACUGCAUUUCUCUUUGGAGUCCAUCCUCAAGGACAGCUCAGCCCUUAUGGUCUUCCUCUGCCCCCUCCCUGGAGACUUGCUGCCUUUUAUGUCAUGUCUCAUUGAUGGCACUGCAUUGACAAAGCUAACAGAGUCUUGACGAUGUCUGUGGCUCCACCUGAAAUUUGUAUUUGCUGUCCUUAUUCCUGAUGAAAAGCUUCCUAGGAUGUCAUUCACCCAUCAAUGCUUCUAGGAUUCUGAAAUAAGUCUGAGACUUGAAGUGCAUCAUGUACUCACAGGAUAAGCUGUUCAAAACUUAAACUGAAGUCUAGGUAGAGUUGCUGAAAGUUUGCAUUUAAAUAAUGGUCCUGGAAUAAAGUAAAUGCCUCACAGAGGCUAAUAAUGAUGGGUAGUUUUCAUUUAAAAAUGAGUUGGUUACACUAUCAGAUCCUUUUCAAGCUCUGAAGCUAAAAGAUUGAAAUGAAUUUCUAACUUAUAUAAAACUAUGUGGGUUCUCCAUUCUUCCUUGACAAAUGAUCCUAAAAUGUAGUAGCUCAAAAGGACAGGUCUUUAUUUUGCUGGCCAUCUAUGCGGUUGGGUGAGGACUGCUCAUCUCUGCUCCGUGAACGUGGCUGGCAUAGAAGGAGCUGUGUUGGAGGUGACCCAAUCACAUU
ensembl:lincRNA